rnacentral:tRNA from 1 species
GGUAGCUCGUUGGGCUCAUAACCCAAAGGUCGGAGGUUCAAAUCCUUCCCCCGCAA